AGUGAACGCUGGCGGUAGGCCUAACACAUGCAAGUCGAACGGCAGCACAGUAAGAGCUUGCUCUUACGGGUGGCGAGUGGCGGACGGGUGAGGAAUACAUCGGAAUCUUCUUUUUCGUGGGGGAUAACGUAGGGAAACUUACGCUAAUACCGCAUACGACCUACGGGUGAAAGCAGGGGAUCUUCGGACCUUGCGCGAUUGAAUGAGCCGAUGUCGGAUUAGCUAGUUGGCGGGGUAAAGGCCCUCCAAGGCGACGAUCCGUAGCUGGUCUGAGAGGAUGAUCAGCCACACUGGAACUGAGACACGGUCCAGACUCCUACGGGAGGCAGCAGUGGGGAAUAUUGGACAAUGGGCGCAAGCCUGAUCCAGCCAUACCGCGUGGGUGAAGAAGGCCUUCGGGUUGUAAAGCCCUUUUGUUGGGAAAGAAAAGCAGCAGGUUAAUACCCCGCUGUUCUGACGGUACCCAAAGAAUAAGCACCGGCUAACUUCGUG
rnacentral:rRNA from 1 species